rnacentral:rRNA from 1 species
GACGAACCGUGCGAACGUUGUUCGGAAUCACUGGGCUUAAAGGGCGCGUAGGCGGGCUGCCAAGUCUGGGGUGAAAUCCUCCGGCUCAACCGGAGAACGGCCUCGGAUACUGGCGGUCUCGAGGGGGGUAGGGGCGUGCGGAACUAAGGGUGGAGCGGUGAAAUGCGUUGAUAUCCUUAGGAACUCCGGUGGCGAAGGCGGCACGCUGGACCCCUUCUGACGCUGAGGCGCGAAAGCCAGGGGAGCAAACGGG